rnacentral:ncRNA from 1 species
AUAAAGACUAUGCGUAGAAGAGUAGUCGUUAGUCAAGUUCUCAGGGAGCCUCAGUAAGUGCGACGAGGUAGCGGAUCUAACGAUGAAAGUAAUCUACAAGUCGUGACCGCGACGGCAACGAAGUGGUCACUGGGAGUGCGCCCAUUACAGCAAUGAAGUAUCGUCGACAGACCGCGCAUCUGUAGGCCGUACUUUCUAAGCCAGUCAUCGUGAGGUGAUUGGAAAUUAAGGUGGUAACACGUCAAUUAACACGUCCUUAGC